rnacentral:lncRNA from 1 species
AAAAAUUAAAAGAAGUUGACGUUUGAACAAUUUAAAAAAAUGCAAGAUUAUGAAAGUGAGAAAUAAAAUAUUCAAAACAAUUUUUUAGUAUGAUUUAAAAUGAAUAAAAUGAUUUUCUUAUAUAACGAGGUAUCUAAAUUAUUUGAGACUAAUGAAUAUUUUCAAUUAACACAAGCACAUUUACUUUUUCUGAUAAUUAAACAAUUUUGUUUUCAAAUUCAUCAUAAUAUUUACACAAAUUGGUU